UUGUGGUCAUUUACCAUUAUAAUGAACGGGAGGCGCAGUUUCUACCAAAACGCUCGCUGCAGAAAAACUCCAUGUCCUAUUUGAAAAAAGUCUGGACCAUGAGUGAGGGCACAAACACAGCAAAGAUAUAUCCAAAUGGCAAGUUGCUCCUCCUUUCGCUUUUGCCGAGAGAGCAGUGCGUUUGAGCCAUUGAAUGAUGAACAGGAAAAACUUGACUUUAUUCUCCUGCCAUGGGGGGGCGCUCUUUUAACGAGAAAAAACUCCUUCACAAAUGUGUUGAUGGCUGGACAUUGCAUCAUCCUAGAAAACAUGGAGGCCAGUGAGGACAAAAAUAAAAAGUUAUAAGACUUUUAAAUAUGUGGAUUUUAGGGUUAUCUUUGGCGCCCCCUAGAACCUAAACCGUGGGGUGCAGCGUCAUGAUUUGAAUAACUUUUAAUGGCCAUGGGGUGUAGAUUGGCCUGAGCAAAUGUGGUGCCAGUGGAACGAAAGCCUUCGGAGGAGUUAGCGAAAUUCCAAUGUGUGCGAAUCUGCAAAAAAUGCGAAAUAACCCUUUAACCGUACAUUUUACAGAUACGUGGCCAUUGACUUUUUCGAAGAUCUUAUUGAAAUACACGUGUAUGUAAAAUUUUGUGUCAAUACGACAAAACAUACAGGCGUAGCACUCAACAAUGUGUAUUUUCACCUUAGUGGACAAGAAAGAAUGGACUUUUUUCUCCUGCCAUGGGGGGGGCGCUCUUUUGGCGAGUAAAAAUUCCUUCACAAAUGUGUUGAUGGCUGGACAUUGCAUCAUCCUAGAAAACUUGGAGGCCAGUGGGGACAAAAAUAAAAAGUUAUAAGACUUUUAAAUAUGUGGAUUUUAGGGUUAUCUUUGGCGCCCCCUAGAACCUAAACCGUGGGGUGCAGCGUCAUGAUUUGAAUAACUUUUAAUGGCCAUGGGGUGUAAAUUGGCCUGAGCAAAUGUGGUGCCGGUGGAACGAAAGCCUUCGGAGGAGUUAGCGAAAUUCCAAUGUGUGCGGAUCGGCAAAAAAUGCAGAAUAACCCUUUAACCAUACAUUUGACAGAUACGCGCGCAUUGACUUUUUCGUAGAUCUUUUUGAGAUACAUGUGUGUGUCAAUUUUUGUGUCAUUUUGCCAAAGCGUACAGGUGUUACACUCAACAAUGUGUAUUUUCACCUUAGGGGACAAGAAAAAAUGGACUUUUUUCUCCUGCCAUGGGGGGGCGCUCUUUUGGGGAGUAAAAAUUCCUUCACAAAUGUGUUGAUGGCUGGACAUUGCAUCAUCCUAGAAAACUUGGAGGCCAGUGAGGACAAAAAUAAAAAGUUAUAAGACUUUUAAAUAUGUGGAUUUUAGGGUUAUCUUUGGCGCCCCCUAGAACCUAAACCGUGGGGUGCAGCGUCAUGAUUUGAAUAACUUUUAAUGGCCAUGGGGUGUAGAUUGUCCUGAGCAAAUGUGGUGCCGGUGGAACGAAAGCCUUAGGAGGAGUUAGCCACAUUCCAAUGUGUGCGGAUCGGCAAAAAAUGCGGAAUAACCCUUUAACCGUACAUUUGACAGAUACGCGCACAUUGACUUUUUCGUAGAUCUUAUUGAGUUACAUGUGUGUGUCAAUUUUUGUGUCAUUUUGACAAAGCGUAUAGGCGUGACACUCAACAAUGUGUAUUUUCACCUUAGGGAACAAGAAAAAAUGGACUUUUUUCUCCUGCCAUGGGGGGGCGCUCUUUUGGGGAGUAAAAAUUCCUUCACAAAUGUGUUGAUGGCUGUACAUUGCAUCAUCCUAGAAAACUUGGAGGCCAGUGAGGACAAAAAUAAAAAGUUAUAAGACUUUUAAAUAUGUGGAUUUUAGUGUUAUCUUUGGCGCCCCCUAGAACCUAAACCUUGGGGUGCAGCGUCAUGAUUUUGAUAACUUUUAAUGGCCACGGGGUGUAGAUUGGCCUGAGCAAAUGUGGUGCCGGUGGAACGAAAGCCUUCGGAGGAGUUAGCGAAAUUCCAAUGUGUGCGGAUCGGAAAAAAAUGCGAAAUAACCCUUUAACCGUACAUUUGACAGAUACGGCCGCACUGACUUUUUUGUAGAUCUUAUUGAGAUACAUGUGUGUGUCAAUUUUUGUGUCAAUAUGACAAAGCGUACAGGCGUGACAGUCAAUAGUGUGAAUUUUUACCUUAGGGGGCGCUAUGGAGCCAUUCUGCAUUUUCUUGUUUGGGCGACUUCAGAAUAUCGAAUUUUUCACCAGGCCCGGUCGUCCUGCCAAAUUUCAUGAGUUUUCGCCAGUGGGAAGUGGGCCAUUUUCCAGUUCAAAGGGGAGGAAAAAGAAAAAAGAAAGAAAGAAACAAAGAAAAACCACUUGGGGAAUAAUAGGGCCUACGCCCGGCUGCUCUGCAGCUGGCUCGGGCCCUAAAGAAAGAAAGAAACAAAGAAAAACCACUUGGGGAAUAAUAGGGCCUACGCCCGGCUGCUCUGCAGCUGGCUCGGGCCCUAACUAGGACCCCGUUGGGGCACUGUCGGGCCCGAGCCGUGUCGCGCCGCCCCCAGCGCGACCGCCUCCUCCUCCCGAUCGCGUCACACUCAAGAUCCAAAGAUGGUGUGCGCACUUAUCUGUGGUCAUUUCCUAUUAUAAUGAAUGGGAGGCGCAGUUUCUACCAAAACACUCGCUGCAGACAAACUUCAUGUCCUAUUUGAAAAAAGUCUGGACCAUGAGUGAGGGCACAAACACAGCUAUGAUAUAUCGAAAUGGCAGGUUGCUCCUCCUUACGGUGUUGCCUGGAGAGCGAUGCGAUUGAGCCAUUGAGCGAUGGGCAGGAAAAACUUAACUUUUUCUCCUGCCAUAUGGGGGGGGGGGGAUGUGGAUUCUUUGAAGAAUGUGGAUUUUUGGGUCAUCUUUGGCGCCCCCUAGAACGUAAACCGUGGGGUGCAGCGUCAUGAUUUUUACAACUUUGAAUGGCCAUGGGGUGUAGAUUGGCCUGAGCAAAUUUGGUGUCAGUGGGACGAAAGCCUUAGGAGGAGUUAGCCACAUUCCAAUGUGUGCGAAUCGGCAAAAAAUGCAAAAUAGCCCUUUAACCGUACAUUUGACAGAUAUGCGCGAAUCGACUCUUUUGUAGAUCUUAUUGAGAUACAUAUGUGUGUCAAUUUUUGUGUCAAUAUGAUAAAGCGUACAGGCGUGACAGUCAAUAGUGUGAAUUUCCACCUUAGGGGACAAGAAAAAAUUGGCUUUUUUUUCCUGCCAUGGGGGGGCGCUCUUUUGGGGAGUAAAAAUUCCUUCACAAAUGUGUUGAUGGCUGGACAUUGCAUCAUCCUAGAAAACUUGGAGGCCAGUGAGGACAAAAAUAAAAAGUUAUAAGACUUUUAAAUAUGUGGAUUUUAGGGUUAUCUUUGGCGCCCCCUAGAACCUAAACCGUGGGAUGCAGCGUCAUGAUUUGAAUAACUUUUAAUGGCCAUGGGGUGUAGAUUGGCCUGAGCAAAUGUGGUACCGGUGGAAUGAAAGCCUUCGGAGGAGUUAGCGAAAUUCCAAUGUGUGCUGAUCGGCAAAAAAUGCGGAAUAACCCUUUAACCGUACAUUUGACAGAUACGCGCGCACUGACUUUUUCGUAGAUCUUAUUGAGAUACAUGUGUGUGUCAAUUUUUGUGUCAUUUUGCCAAAGCGUACAGGUGUUACACUCAACAAUGUGUAUUUUCACCUUAGGGGACAAGAAAAAAUGGACUUUUUUCUCCUGCCAUGGGGGGGCGCUCUUUUGGGGAGUAAAAAUUCCUUCACAAAUGUGUUGAUGGCUGGACAUUGCAUCAUCCUAGAAAACUUGGAGGCCAGUGACGGCAAAAAUAAAAAGUUAUAAGACUUUUAAAUAUGUGGAUCUUAGGGUUAUCUUUGGCGCCCCCUAGAACCUAAACCGUGGGGUGCAGCGUCAUGAUUUGAAUAACUUUUAAUGGCCAUGGGGUGUAGAUUGGCCUGAGCAAAUGUGGUGCCGGUGGAACGAAAGCCUUCGGAGGAGUUAGCGAAAUUCCAAUGUGUGCGGAUCGGCAAAAAAUGCGAAAUAACCCUUUAACCGUACAUUUGACAGAUACGCCCGCACUGACUUUUUUGUAGAUCUUAUUGAGAUACAUGUGUGUGUCAAUUUUUGUGUCAUUUUGACAAAGCGUACAGGCGUGACAGUCAAUAGUGUGAAUUUUCACCUUAGGGGGCGCUAUGGAGCCAUUUUGCAUUUUCUUGUUUGGGCGACUUCGGAAUAUCAAAUUUUUCACCAGGCCCGGUCGUCCUGCCAAAUUUCAUGAGUUUUCGCCAGUGGGAAGUGGGCCAUUUUCCAGUUCAAAGGGGAGGAAAAAUAAUAACUAGGACCCCGUUGGGGCACUGGCGGGCCCGAGCCGUGUCGCGUCCCCCCCCAACGCGCUGCCUCCCCGUCCCAUUUGUGUCCUCUGGCCAUCGCCCUCUUUGGUAACGCCCAUCACUGCAAAGACCCUUUUCCUUCAUCGGCGUUUGCUGUUCUUCCUGCCAGUGCGUGUUGCUUUCACUUACACUUGCCACAGCCAGCCUCGUGAGUGCCUAGCCUAUUGGAUAUCACUGUCACCUACACAGGACAGUCAUUACCUUUCUAUUAAUACUUUGUUUUUUAAUUUCACAUUAAUUUCCAAAUUGUAUAAACGACUGGAAAAAACUUGAGCCCCUGCCCCUGUAUAAUCAUGUGCACGUCUCUGUUCUAGCUCUAAGGUAAAUCUUCACUGCUCAUGUUCUCCUCAGAAGCAGUCACCUCACUCCCCUCAGGUUACUGUACACAUGCACCAACUGCCUGCUUCAGGUUUGGAUGGAGCUUCAUGGUUGUCUUUUGGAGAAAUGACCAGUCAAGUUGUGUUUGAAAUUUGAUUUUUUUCAGGGGCAAAAGGAGCCUCUGCAUUCUUGUCAAAUAUGUAAAUAGCAUGUUUUUGCAGGUGCUACAAACCAGACUCUGAGUGUGUGUGUGUGCGUGUGUGUGUGUCUGUGUGUGUGUGUGUGUGUGCGUUCAAGUCACAUGACAUAUUUAACCGGAUGUAGCUGCAAGACGGAGCCUCGUUGACUCUCCGUUUCAAUUUAUCUCAAAUGUGAGGACCUCAACCUAUAUACCAGUUUUUAAAUUGUGUUGAUAGGCCAAAUAAAACCAGAGUUAUGAUAAAUUAUGUCCGCGAUACUUGUUUUCUGCUUAUUUUGAUCACGUUCGGCGCUCGAUCGCGCUGUAUGAGACAGGAAAACAUAGCAUGCAGACAUUAGCGACAGGUCUUACAGGCGGAAAAGGCUUGCCAAAGGAAAAAAAAUACACACCACAACAUCUCUCCUAUUGGUGGAAAACUUCACCACAACAACCAAUCCAAAAUUAUAUGGUGACUGAUUGACAAGGGGCGGGAACUUACGUUCUUCCUGCAAUAUGAGAAGGGAGGGAGGGACUCUCAGCAGGGAUGCAGUCUGGGACACGUAGUUGCAAACCUAGCGACUUUGUUGUUAGAUUCAAUGACUUUUCAGACCCCCUAACGACUUUUUUUAGAAAGAAAGUGACUUUUAUCGACUUCUUCUGGAGUUUAGAGACUCUGACAUGAAGCAGGCUUUCCUUACUGAGGAGUUAGCAACGCUGCUAAGGGUGCAGAGCCACACAUGCGCUCCGAGCUCUGCAUGGGAGACUGAAGCUGACACAGCUGCAGCAGUUAGCAGGUUUCCCCCUCAGAGACCACCAGGGGUUCAUGUUGAGGCAUUUUCAGUUUUUUUUUUUUUUUUUUGCCAUAGACACUGUCAGCACAAUCUGCAGUUACACUAACAAAAAUGCUGCAAAAAACAAAGAAUUAUGGAAAAAUUACACAUGGACUAACAUAGAGGAGGAUCUACACAAGUUUUUUACAUCAUGUUUUACAUCAUGCAUCAUUUACAUCAUGUUUUUUUGUAGUGGCAUAAAUAAAAAGUGACAUUUGUGAGACUAUACAGUGUUUUGUAAAUAAUUUUACAAAGAACACCUGGGCCAUUGCCUGCAUUUUGAUGUCAAUAGAGGUAAAUUACUAUGUUCUUUGUUAAAAAUUUGCAUAUGUUUUGAAGUUUACAAUUUUUAUUUGAAGUUUAAGUUUUAAAAACAGUUCAUCACACAUAUUUGUGGUUUUCACAGUAAAAAAGUUACUUUUUUCCACUCUGAUUUUAUGUUUUGUGUGUGAAUUUGGGUCCAAUGUGUAAAUAUAGUAUGUCAAAAUGGUAAAAUAACUGUAAAUUGACACAGGUGAGGUUGUGCUGAAAAAAAUGAUACCAGGCAAGGCAAGGUAAAAAUUUUGUAAGAGGAAAUAUAAAGGUAAAAUCUAAAGUAGUCAAAAACGGCCAAUAGUGACUCACAGACUCCACAGACAAGUCCCUUUGGCGCCACUCAGUGGGCAAAACUACUUUGUCUACUGUAAUGUAUAUUUGGGUCAUCUUUGGCGCCCCCUAAAACGUAAACCGUGGGGUGCAGCGUCAUGAUUUUUACAACUUUGAAUGGCCAUGGAGUGUAGAUUGGCCUGAGCAAAUUUGGUGUCAGUGGGACGAAAGCCUUAGGAGGAGUUAGCGAAAUUCCAAUGUGUGCGAAUCGGCAAAAAAUGCAAAAUAGCCCUUUUACCGUACAUUAUACAGAUACGCGCUCUUUGACUUUUUCGUAGAUCUAAUUGAGAUACACAUGAUUGUCAAUUUUUGUGUCAUUUUGCCAAAGCGUACAGGCGUGACAGUCAACAAUGUGUAUUUUCACCUUAGGGGACAAGAAAAAAUGGACUUUUUUCUCCUGCCAUGGGGGGGCGCUCUUUUGGGGAGUAAAAAUUCCUUCACAAAUGUGUUGAUGGCUGGACAUUGCAUCAUCCUAGAAAACUUGGAGGCCAGUGAGGACAAAAAUAAAAAGUUAUAAGACUUUUAAAAAUGUGGAUUUUUGGGUUAUCUUUGGCGCCCCCUAGAACGUAAAUCGUGGGGUGCAGCGUCAUGAUUUGAAUAACUUUUAAUGGCCAUGGGGUGUAGAUUGGCCUGAGCAAAUGUGGUGCCGGUGGAACGAAAGCCUUCGGAGGAGUUAGCGAAAUUCCAAUGUGUGCGGAUCGGCAAAAAAUGCGAAAUAACCCUUUAACCGUACAUUAGACAGAUACGCGCGCAUUGACUUUUUUGUAGAUCUUAUUGAGAUACAUGUGUGUGUCAAUUUUUGUGUCAUUUUGACAAAGCGUACAGGCGUGACAGUCAAUAGUGUGAAUUUUCACCUUAGGGGACAAGAAAAAAUGGACUUUUUUCUCCUGCCAUGGGGGGGCGCUCUUUUGGGGAGUAAAAAUUCCUUCACAAAUGUGUUGAUGGCUGGACAUUGCAUCAUCCUAGAAAACUUGGAGGCCAGUGAGGACAAAAAUAAAAAGUUAUAAGACUUUUAAAUAUGUGGAUUUUAGUGUUAUCUUUGGCGCCCCCUAGAACCUAAACCUUGGGGUGCAGCGUCAUGAUUUUGAUAACUUUUAAUGGCCACGGGGUGUAGAUUGGCCUGAGCAAAUGUGGUGCCGGUGGAACGAAAGCCUUCGGAGGAGUUAGCGAAAUUCCAAUGUGUGCGGAUCGGCAAAAAAUGCGCAAUAACCCUUUAACCGUACAUUUGACAGAUACGACCGCACUGACUUUUUUGUAGAUCUUAUUGAGAUACAUGUGUGUGUCAAUUUUUGUGUCAUUUUGCCAAAGCGUACAGGCGUGACAGUCAAUAGUGUGAAUUUUCACCUUAGGGGGCGCUAUGGAGCCAUUUUGCAUUUUCUUGUUUGGGCGACUUCGGAAUAUCAAAUUUUUCACCAGGCCCGGUCAUCCUGCCAAAUUUCAUGAGUUUUCGCCAGUGGGAAGUGGGCCAUUUUCCAGUUCAAAGGGGAGGAAAAAGAAAAAAGAAAGAAAGAAACAAAGAAAAACCACUUGGGGAAUAAUAGGGCCUACGCCCGGCUGCUCUGCAGCUGGCUCGGGCCCUAACUAGGACCCCGUUGGGGCACUGGCGGGCCCGAGCUGUGUCGCGUCCCCCCCCCAACGUGCUGCCUCCCCGUCCCAUUUGUGUCCUCUGGCCAUCGCCCUCUCUGGUAACGCCCAUCACUGCAAAGACCCUUUUCCUUCAUCGGCGUUUGCUGUUCUUCCUGCCAGUGCAUGUUGCUUUCACUUACACUUGCCACAGCCAGCCUCGUGAGUGCCUAGCCUAUUGGAUAUCACUGUCACCUACACAGGACAGUCAUUACCUUUCUAUUAAUACUUUGUGUUUUAAUUUCACAUUAAUUUCCAUAUUGUAUAAACGACUCGAAAAAACUUGAGCCCCUGCCCCUGUAUGAUCAUGUGCAUGUCUCUGUUCUAGCUCCAAGGUGAAUCUUCACUGCUCAUGUUCUCCUCAGAAGCACUCACCUCACUCCCCUCAGGUUACUGUACACAUGCACCCAGUGGCGGUUCUAGACCAAAUUACUCCCCGGGCGAGCACCCCUCCAAGUGCCUGCCCCCCCCCCCAACACACAAACACAAAAAGAGAGUUUUGUAUUAUUAUGUAGUAUUUUUAUGAUUAUAACAACAAAAAUAAUUUCUCAAUUGCAGAAAUCCUUCAAUAGAAAAAAACACAAUCCUGAGGGCCAUUUUGAGAAGGGCCCCCAGAUCCUGAGCUUUUCUGACGUGUUAAGGUUUACAAAAAAGCUGCUAUCUCGGCCUCUGUAGUAGAUAGAAACAAAAUUGAAAAAGUAUUUGAGAGCUUAUACAUGUGGCUUUCAAGAAAGCUCUCUUUUAGUUUUGCGAACCUUCAUCACAUUUUUGAAAACCUUGAACAAACAAACUUAAAUGAAAUGAAGCGGCUGUAUAAAUAAAAGUAAAGGCUCUGCACUGGAGAAUGACAAAUAAUUUGCUUUCUGUAAAAUAAAGUGGCAGUCAUGAUAAAGUGUCCAUUCAAUACAAAUGUAAAUAUAGAAAAUAAGGUGUUGAAAGGGUAUACAGCUGCCCCAGUAUAGUGCCAGUACAAAAGCAGAACUAAAAACUAAAAAAUGAAUAAAUAAAUACGUGGCUGACAGUGUGUUUAUCUCUGUUCUCACCCAAAGUCAUUCAACACUCACAGAAAACACUGAUAGUGUGAGCCAAAGCACUCUAUAUGAAGAGUUUGUUCACACUGCUGGAUGUUUCUCCUCUUAAGCUGCUCUCUGCCUCCGUCAUUGUUUACUUCACUCAUGAAGCUCAUCAAGCACGUAGCAAGAUCCGAGCAUGAACCCGAGCGCUUUAUUCGCCUAUCAAAGGCAGACGGGUACGGUGAUUUCAUUCACCACGACUCCAGAAAUGAUUAAAAAACUACAGAAUGUUACAAAAUGACGUGUCCGCGCUCCCGGCAGAGUAAAAAUGCGCAGCCGCGCUCCCGCUGAUAUGCUGACAUGCGUACACAGAGGAGAGCUGUCGCCCCCGCGACUCUCUCCCCACCUCGUCUCACACAGUCUGUCAGCCUCUGUGCAGCACCUUCGGAGCAAGCAGGGGCGCCUACAGCAGCGGGGGGGGGGGGGCGCCAAUUUGACAACAAGAGUUGAUACAAAACCUCUUUGCGGUUAAGAUUUAUUAUCAUUAUCUUUUAUUUUAUUUUUUAGAAGUGCUCGUGCCGCCCCCCAUGAGUCAUAACACAAAUGCCGCCCCGGGCGGCUGCCCUGUUCGCCCGUGCCUCGAACCGCUACUGCAUGCACCAACUGCCUGCUUCAGGUUUGGAUGGAGCUUCAUGGUUGUCUUUUGGAGAAAUGACCAGUCAAGUUGUGUUUGAAAUUUGAUUUUUUUCAGGGGCAAAAGGAGCCUCUGCAUUCUUGUCAAAUAUGUAAAUAGCAUGUUUUUGCAGGUGCUAAAAACCAGACUCUGAGUGUGUGUGUGUGUGUGUGUGUGUGUGUGUGUGUGUGUGUGUGCGUGUGUGUGUGUCUGUGUGUGCGUUCAAGUCACAUGACAUAUUUAACCGGAUGUAGCUGCAAGACGGAGCCUCGUUGACUCUCCAUUUCAACUUAUCUCAAAAGUGAGGACCUCAACCUAUAUACCAGUUUUUAAAUUGUGUUGAUAGGCCAAAUAAAACCAGAGUUAUGAUAAAUUAUGUCCGCGAUACUUUUUUUCUGCUUAUUUUGAUCACGUAAGGCGCUCGAUCGCGCUGUAUGAGACAGGAAAACAUAGCAUGCAGACAUUAGCGACAGGUCUUACAGGCAGAAAAGGCUUGCCAAAAGAAAAAAAAACACACCACAACAUCUCUCCUAUUGGUGGAAAACUUCACCACAACAACCAAUCCAAAAUUAUAUGGUGACUGAUUGACAAGGGGCGGGCGCUAACUUUCUUCCUGCAACAUGAGAAGGGAGGGACUCUCAGCAGGGAUGCAGUCUGGGACACGUAGUUGCAAACCUAGCGACUUUGUUGUUAGAUUCAAUGACUUUUCAGACCCCCUAACGACUUUUUUUUAGAAAGAAAGGGACUUUUAUCGACUUCUUCUGGAGUUUAGAGACUCUGACAUGAAGCAGGCUUUCCUUACUGAAGAGUUAGCAACGCUGCUAAGGGUGCAGAGCCACACAUGCGCUCAGAGCUCUGCAUGGGAGACUGAAGCUGACAGAGCUGCAGCAGUUAGCAGGUUUCACCCUCAGAGACCACCAGGGGUUCAUGUUGAGGCAUUUUAUUUAUUUUUUUUUUUGUGCCAUAGACACUGUCAGCACAAUCUUCAGUUACACUAACAAAAAUGGUGCAAAAAACAAAGAAUUAUGGAAAAAUUACACAUGGACUAACAUAGAGGAGGAUCUACACAAGUUUUUUACAUCAUGUUUUACAUCAUGCAUCAUUUACAUCAUGUUUUUUUGUAGUGGCAUAAAUAAAAAGUGACAUUUGUGAGACUAUACAGUGUUUUGUAAAUAAUUUUACAAAGAACGCCUGGGCCAUUGCCUGCAUUUUGAUGUAAAUAGAGGUAAAUUACUAUGUUCUUUGUUAAAAAUUUGCAUAUGUUUUGAAGUUUACAAUUUUUAUUUGAAGUUUAAGUUUUAAAAACAGUUCAUCACACAUAUUUGUGGUUUAAUUUCACAUUAAUUUCCAUAUUGUAUAAAUGACUGGAAAAAACUUGAGCCCCUGCCCCUGUAUAAUCAUGUGCACGUCCCUGUUCUAGCUCCAAGGUGUAUCUUCACUGCUCAUGUUCUCCUCAGAAAUAGUCACCUCACUCCCCUCAGGUUACUGUACACAUGCACCAACUAUCUGCUUCAGGUUUGAAAUGGAGCUUCAUGGUUGUCUUUUGGAGAAAUGAACAGUCAAGUUGUGUUUGAAAUUUGAUUUUUUUCAGGGGCAAAAGGAAGCCUCUGCAUUCUUGUCAAAUAUGUAAACAGCAUGUUUUUGCAGGUGCUAAAAAACAGACUCUGAGUGUGUGUGUGUGUGUGUCUGUGUGUGUGUGUGUGUGUGUGUGUGUAUGUUGGCGUGUGUGUAUAUGUGUGUGUAUCCUGCAGUACUCUGUACUCCUGCAGUGGCCAAAAAGACUUUUAAGAAUGUGGAUUUUUGGGUCAUCUUUGGCGCCCCCUAGAACUGCAGUACUCUGUACUCCUGCAGUGGCCAAAAUGACUUUUAAGAAUGUGGAUUUUUGAGGUCAUCUUUGGCGCCCCCUAGAACGUAAACCGUGGGGUGCAGCGUCAUGAUUUUUACAACUUUGAAUGGGCAUGGGGUGUAGAUUGCCCUGAGCAAAUUUGGUAUCGGUGGGACGAAAGCCUUAGGAGGAGAUAGCCACAUUCCAAUGUGUGCGAAUCGGCAAAAAAUGCAAAAUAGCCCUUUAACCGUACAUUAUAAAGAUACGCGCUCUUUGACUUUUUCGUAGAUCUAAUUGAGAUACACAUGAUUGUCAAUUUUUGUGUCAAUAUGACAAAGCGUUCAGGCGUGACACUCAACAAUGUGUAUUUUCAUGUAAGGGGACAAGAAAAAAUUGACUUUUUUCUCCUACCAUGGGGGGGCGCUCUUUUGGGGAGUAAAAAUUCCUUCACAAAUGUGUUGAUGGCUGGACAUUGCAUCAUCCUAGAAAACUUGGAGGCCAGUGAGGACAAAAAUAAAAAGUUAUAAAACAUUUAAGAAUGUGGAUUUUUGGGUUAUUUUUGGCGCCCCCUAGAACCUAAACCAUGGGGUGCAGCAUCAUGAUUUGAAUAACUUUUAAUGGCCAUGGGGUGUAGAUUGGCCUGAGCAAAUGUGGUGCCGGUGGAACGAAAGCCUUCGGAGGAGUUAGCGAAAUUCCAAUGUGUGCGUAUCGGCAAAAAAUGCGGAAUAACCCUUUAACUGUACAUUUGACAGAUACGCGCGCAUGGACUUUUUUGUAGAUCUUAUUGAGUUACAUGUGUGUGUCAAUUUUUGUGUCAUUUUGACAAAGCGUAUAGGCGUGACACUCAACAAUGUGUAUUUUCACCUUAGGGGACAAGAAAAAAUGGACUUUUUUCUCCUGCCAUGGGGGGGCGCUCUUUUGGGGAGUAAAAAUUCCUUCACAAAUGUGUUGAUGGCUGGACAUUGCAUCAUCCUAGAAAACUUGGAGGCCAGUGAGGACAAAAAUAAAAAGUUAUAAGACUUUUAAAUAUGUGGAUUUUAGUGUUAUCUUUGGCGCCCCCUAGAACCUAAACCUUGGGGUGCAGCGUCAUGAUUUUGAUAACUUUUAAUGGCCACGGGGUGUAGAUUGGCCUGAGCAAAUGUGGUGCCGGUGGAACGAAAGCCUUCGGAGGAGUUAGCGAAAUUCCAAUGUGUGCGGAUCGGCAAAAAAUGCGAAAUAACCCUUUAACCGUAAUUUUGACAGAUACGGCCGCACUGACUUUUUUGUAGAUCUUAUUGAGAUACAUAUGUGUGUCAAUUUUUGUGUCAAUAUGACAAAGCGUACAGGCGUGACAGUCAAUAGUGUGAAUUUCCACCUUAGGGGGCGCUAUGGAGCCAUUUUGCAUUUUAUUGUUUGGGCGACUUCAGAAUAUCGAAUUUUUCACCAGGCCCGGUCGUCCUGCCAAAUUUCAUGAGUUUUCGCCAGUGGGAAGUGGGCCAUUUUCCAGUUCAAAGGGGAGGAAAAAGAAGAACUAGGGCCCCGUUGGGGCACUGGCGGGCCCGAGCUGUGUCGCGCCGCCCCCAACACGACCGCCUCUCCCUCCCGAUCGCGUCACACUCAAGGUCCAAAGAUGGUGCUCGCACUUGUCUGUGGUCAUUUACCAUUAUAAUGAAUGGGAGGCGCAGUUUCUACCAAAACGCUCGCUGCAGACAAACUACAUGUCCUAUUUGAAAAAAGUCUGGACCAUGAGUGAGGGCACAAACACAGCUAGGAUAUAUCCAAAUGGCAAGUUGCUCCUCCUUUCGGAGGAGUUUGAACACAUGACAUGUGUUUGAGCCAUUGAGCGAUGGGCAGGAAAAACUUGACUUUUUCUCCUGCCAUGGGGGGGCGCUCUUUUGAGGAGUAAAAAUUCCUUCACAAAUGUGUUGAUGGCUAGACAUUGCAUCAUCCUAGAAAACUUGGAAGCCAGUGAGGACAAAAAUUAAAAGUUAUAAGACUUUUAAGAAUGUGGAUUUUUGGGUUAUCUUUGGCGCCCCCUAGAACGUAAACCGUGGGGUGCAGCGUCAUGAUUUGUACAACUUUUAAUGGCCAUGGGGUGUAGAUUGGCCUGAGCAAAUUUGGUGCCGGUGGAACGAAAGCUUUAGGAGGAGUCAGCCACAUUCCAAUGUGUGCGAAUCGAUCAAAAAUGCGUAAUAGCCCUUUAACCGUACAUUUUACAGAUACGUGCGCAUUGACUUUUUCGUAGAUCUUAUUGAGAUACACGUGAUUGUCAAAUUUUGUUUCAAUAUGACAAAGCGUACAGGCGUGACACUCAACAAUGUGUAUUUUCACCUUAUGGGACAAGAAAAAUGGACUUUUUUCUCUUGCCAUGGGGGGCGCUCUUUUGGGGAGUAAAAAUUCCUUCACAAAUGUGUUGAUGGCUGGACAUUGCAUCAUCCUACAAAACUUGGAGGCCAGUGAGGACAAAAAUAAAAAGUUAUAAGACUUUUAAGACUGUGGAUUUUUGGGUUAUCUUUGGCGCCCCCUAGGACGUAAACCGUGGGGUGCAGCAUCAUGAUUUGUACAACUUUUAAUGGCCAUGGGGUGUAGAUUGGCCUGAGCAAAUUUGGUGCCGGUGGAACGAAAGCUUUAGGAGGAGUUAGCGAAAUUCCAAUGUGUGCGAUCGGCAAAAAAUGCGAAAUAACCCUUUAACCGUACAUUUGACAGAUACGUGCGCAUAGACUUUUUUGUAGAUCUUAUUGAGAUACACGUGUGUGUCAAAUUUUGUGUCAAUAUGACAAAGCGUAUAGGCGUGACACUCAACAAUAUGUAUUUUCACCUUAGGGGACAAGAAAAAAUGGACUUUUUUCUCCUGCCAUGGGGGGCGCUCUUUUGGGGGUAAAAAUUCCUUCACAAAUGUGUUGAUGGCUGGACAUUGCAUCAUCCUAGAAAACUUGGAGGCCAGUGAGGACAAAAAUAAAAAGUUAUUAGACUUUUAAGAAUGUGGAUUUUUGGGUUAUCUUUGGCGCCCCCUAGAACGUAAACCGUGGGGUGCAGCGUCAUGAUUUGUACAACUUUUAAUGGCCAUGGGGUGUAGAUUGGCCUGAGCAAAUGUGGUGCCGGUGGAACGAAAGCCUUCGGAGGAGUUAGCGAAAUUCCAAUGUGUGCGGAUCGGCAAAAAAUGCGCAAUAAUCCUUUAACCGUACAUUUGACAGAUACGCCCGCACUGACUUUUUUGUAGAUCUUAUUGAGAUACAUGUGUGUGUCAAUUUUUGUGUCAUUUUGACAAAGCGUACAGGCGUGACAGUCAAUAGUGUGAAUUUUCACCUUAGGGGGCGCUAUGGAGCCAUUUUGCAUUUUAUUGUUUGGGCGACUUCAGAAUAUCGAAUUUUUCACCAGGCCCGGUCGUCCUGCCAAAUUUCAUGAGUUUUCGCCAGUGGGAAGUGGGCCAUUUUCCAGUUUAAAGCGGAGGAAAAAUAAUAACUAGGGCCCCGGUGGGGCACUGUCGGGCCCGAGCCGCGUCGCGCCGCCCCCAGCGCGACCGCCUCCCCCUCCCGAUCGCGUCACACUCAAGGUCCAAAGAUGGUGUGCGCACUUGUCUGUGGUCAUUUCCCAUUAUAAUGAAUGGGAGGCGCAGUUUCUACCAAAACGCUUGCUGCAGACAAACUACAUGUCCUAUUUGAAAAAAGUCUGGACCAUGAGUGAGGGCACAAACACAGCUAGUAUAUAUCCAAAUGGCAAGUUGCUCCUCCUUUCCGUUUUGCAGAGAGAGCGAUGCGUUUGAGCCAUUGAGCGAUGGGCAGGAAAAACUUGACUUUUUCUCCUGCCAUGGGGGGCGCUCUUUUGGGGAGAAAAAUUCCUUCACAAAUGUGUUGAUGGCUGGACAUUGCAUCAUCCUAGAAAACUUGGAGGCCAGUGAGGACAAAAAUAAAAAGUUAUAAGACUUUUAAAAAUGUGGAUAUUUGGGUCCUCUUUGGCGCCCCCUAGAACGUAAACUGUGGGGUGCAGCGUCAUGAUUUGUACAACUUUGAAUGGCCAUGGGGUGUAGAUUGACCUGAGCAAAUUUGAAGCCGAUGGGACAAAAGAUUUAGGAGGAGUUAGCGAAAUUCCAAUGUGUGCGGAUCGGCAAAAAAUGCGAAAUAACCCUUUAACCGUACAUUUGACAGAUACGCCCGCACUGACUUUUUUGUAGAUCUUAUUGAGAUACAUGUGUGUGUCAAAUUUUGUGUCAUUUUGACAAAGCGUAAAGGCGUGACAGUCAACAAUGUGUAUUUUCGCCUUAGGAGACAAGAAAAAAUGGACUUUUUUCUCCUGCCAUGGGGGGGCGCUCUUUUGGCGAGUAAAAAUUCCUUCACAAAUGUGUUGAUGGCUGGACAUUGCAUCAUCCUAGAGAACUUGGAGGCCAGUGAGGACAAAAAUAAAAAGUUAUAAGACUUUUAAGACUGUGGAUUUUUGGGUUAUCUUUGGCGCCCCCUAGAACGUAAACCGUGGGGUGCAGCAUCAUGAUUUGUACAACUUUUAAUGGCCAUGGGGUGUAGAUUGGCCUCAGCAAAUGUGGUGCCUUUGGAACGAAAGCCUUCGGAGGAGUUAGCGAAAUUCCAAUGUGUGCGGAUCGGCAAAAAAUGCGAAAUAGCCCUUUCACCGUACAUUUGACAGAUACGCCCGCACUGACUUUUUUGUAGAUCUUAUUGAGAUACAUGUGUGUGUCAAUUUUUGUGUCAAUAUGACAAAGCGUAAAGGCGUGACAGUCAAUAGUGUGUAUUUUCGCCUUAGGAGACAAGAAAAAAUGGACUUUUUUCUCCUGCCAUGGGGGGGCGCUCUUUUGGCGAGUAAAAAUUCCUUCACAAAUGUGUUGAUGGCUGGACAUUGCAUCAUCCUAGAGAACUUGGAGGCCAGUGAGGACAAAAAUAAAAAGUUAUAAGACUUUUAAGACUGUGGAUUUUUGGGUUAUCUUUGGCGCCCCCUAGAACGUAAACCGUGGGGUGCAGCAUCAUGAUUUGUACAACUUUAAAUGGCCAUGGGGUGUAGAUUGGCCUCAGCAAAUGUGGUGCCUUUGGAACGAAAGCCUUCGGAGGAGUUAGCGAAAUUCCAAUGUGUGCGGAUCGGCAAAAAAUGCGAAAUAGCCCUUUCACCGUACAUUUGACAGAUACGCCCGCACUGACUUUUUUGUAGAUCUUAUUGAGAUACAUGUGUGUGUCAAUUUUUGUGUCAAUAUGACAAAGCGUAAAGGCGUGACAGUCAAUAGUGUGAAUUUUCGCCUUAGGAGACAAGAAAAAAUGGACUUUUUUCUCCUGCCAUGGGGGGGCGCUCUUUUGGGGAGUAAAAAUUCCUUCACAAAUGUGUUGAUGGCUGGACAUUGCAUCAUCCUAGAAAACUUGGAGGCCAGUGAGGACAAAAAUAAAAAGUUAUUAGACUUUUAAGAAUGUGGAUUUCUGGGUUAUCUUUGGCGCCCCCUAGAACGUAAACCGUGGGAUGCAGCGUCAUGAUUUGUACAACUUUUAAUGGCCAUGGGGUGUAGAUUGGCCUGAGCAAAUUUGGUGCCGGUGGAACGAAAGCCUUCGGAGGAGUUAGCGAAAUUCCAAUGUGUGCGGAUCGGCAAAAAAUGCGAAAUAGCCCUUUAACCGUACAUUUGACAGAUACGCCCGCACUGACUUUUUUGUAGAUCUUAUUGAGAUACACGUGUGUGUCAAAUUUUGUGUCAUUUUGACAAAGCGUACAGGCGUGACACUCAAUCAUGUGAAUUUUUCACCUUAGGGGGCGCUAUGGAGCCAUUUUGCAUUUGAUUUUUUGGGCGACUUCAGAAUAUCGAAUUUUUCACCAGGCCCGGUCGUCCUGCCAAAUUUCAUGACUUUUCACCAGUGGGAAGUGGGCCAUUUUCCAGUUCAAAGGGGCAGAAAAAUAAUAAGAAGAAGAAGAAGAAAGAAGAAUCCAUCAGGAAUAAUAGGGCUCUCGCAGCUGCUUAGCAGCUACGCUCGGGCCCUAAUAAUAACUAGGGCCCCGGUGGGGCACUGUCGGGCCCGAGCCGCGUCGCGCCGCCCCCAGCGCGACCGCCUCCCCCUCCCGAUCGCGUCACACUCAAGGUCCAAAGAUGGUGUGCGCACUUGUCUGUGGUCAUUUCCCAUUAUAAUGAAUGGGAGGCGCAGUUUCUACCAAAACGCUUGCUGCAGACAAACUACAUGUCCUAUUUGAAAAAAGUCUGGACCAUGAGUGAGGGCACAAACACAGCUAGUAUAUAUCCAAAUGGCAAGUUGCUCCUCCUUUCCGUUUUGCAGAGAGAGCGAUGCGUUUGAGCCAUUGAGCGAUGGGCAGGAAAAACUUGACUUUUUCUCCUGCCAUGGGGGGGCGCUCUUUUGGGGAGAAAAAAUUCCUUCACAAAUGUGUUGAUGGCUGGACAUUGCAUCAUCCUAGAAAACUUGGAGGCCAGUGAGGACAAAAAUAAAAAGUUAUAAGACUUUUAAAAAUGUGGAUAUUUGGGUCCUCUUUGGCGCCCCCUAGAACGUAAACUGUGGGGUGCAGCGUCAUGAUUUGUACAACUUUGAAUGGCCAUGGGGUGUAGAUUGACCUGAGCAAAUUUGAAGCCGAUGGGACAAAAGAUUUAGGAGGAGUUAGCGAAAUUCCAAUGUGUGCGGAUCGGCAAAAAAUGCGAAAUAACCCUUUAACCGUACAUUUGACAGAUACGCCCGCACUGACUUUUUUGUAGAUCUUAUUGAGAUACAUGUGUGUGUCAAAUUUUGUGUCAUUUUGACAAAGCGUAAAGGCGUGACAGUCAACAAUGUGUAUUUUCGCCUUAGGAGACAAGAAAAAAUGGACUUUUUUCUCCUGCCAUGGGGGGCGCUCUUUUGGCGAGUAAAAAUUCCUUCACAAAUGUGUUGAUGGCUGGACAUUGCAUCAUCCUAGAGAACUUGGAGGCCAGUGAGGACAAAAAUAAAAAGUUAUAAGACUUUUAAGACUGUGGAUUUUUGGGUUAUCUUUGGCGCCCCCUAGAACGUAAACCGUGGGGUGCAGCAUCAUGAUUUGUACAACUUUUAAUGGCCAUGGGGUGUAGAUUGGCCUCAGCAAAUGUGGUGCCUUUGGAACGAAAGCCUUCGGAGGAGUUAGCGAAAUUCCAAUGUGUGCGGAUCGGCAAAAAAUGCGAAAUAGCCCUUUCACCGUACAUUUGACAGAUACGCCCGCACUGACUUUUUUGUAGAUCUUAUUGAGAUACAUGUGUGUGUCAAUUUUUGUGUCAAUAUGACAAAGCGUAAAGGCGUGACAGUCAAUAGUGUGUAUUUUCGCCUUAGGAGACAAGAAAAAAUGGACUUUUUUCUCCUGCCAUGGGGGGGCGCUCUUUUGGCGAGUAAAAAUUCCUUCACAAAUGUGUUGAUGGCUGGACAUUGCAUCAUCCUAGAGAACUUGGAGGCCAGUGAGGACAAAAAUAAAAAGUUAUAAGACUUUUAAGACUGUGGAUUUUUGGGUUAUCUUUGGCGCCCCCUAGAACGUAAACCGUGGGGUGCAGCAUCAUGAUUUGUACAACUUUAAAUGGCCAUGGGGUGUAGAUUGGCCUCAGCAAAUGUGGUGCCUUUGGAACGAAAGCCUUCGGAGGAGUUAGCGAAAUUCCAAUGUGUGCGGAUCGGCAAAAAAUGCGAAAUAGCCCUUUCACCGUACAUUUGACAGAUACGCCCGCACUGACUUUUUUGUAGAUCUUAUUGAGAUACAUGUGUGUGUCAAUUUUUGUGUCAAUAUGACAAAGCGUAAAGGCGUGACAGUCAAUAGUGUGAAUUUUCGCCUUAGGAGACAAGAAAAAAUGGACUUUUUUCUCCUGCCAUGGGGGGCGCUCUUUUGGGGAGUAAAAAUUCCUUCACAAAUGUGUUGAUGGCUGGACAUUGCAUCAUCCUAGAAAACUUGGAGGCCAGUGAGGACAAAAAUAAAAAGUUAUAAGACUUUUAAAUAUGUGGAUUUUAGUGUUAUCUUUGGCGCCCCCUAGAACCUAAACCUUGGGGUGCAGCGUCAUGAUUUUGAUAACUUUUAAUGGCCACGGGGUGUAGAUUGGCCUGAGCAAAUGUGGUGCCGGUGGAACGAAAGCCUUCGGAGGAGUUAGCGAAAUUCCAAUGUGUGCGGAUCGGCAAAAAAUGCGAAAUAACCCUUUAACCGUAAUUUUGACAGAUACGGCCGCACUGACUUUUUUGUAGAUCUUAUUGAGAUACAUAUGUGUGUCAAUUUUUGUGUCAAUAUGACAAAGCGUACAGGCGUGACAGUCAAUAGUGUGAAUUUCCACCUUAGGGGGCGCUAUGGAGCCAUUUUGCAUUUUAUUGUUUGGGCGACUUCAGAAUAUCGAAUUUUUCACCAGGCCCGGUCGUCCUGCCAAAUUUCAUGAGUUUUCGCCAGUGGGAAGUGGGCCAUUUUCCAGUUCAAAGGGGAGGAAAAAGAAGAACUAGGGCCCCGUUGGGGCACUGGCGGGCCCGAGCUGUGUCGCGCCGCCCCCAACACGACCGCCUCUCCCUCCCGAUCGCGUCACACUCAAGGUCCAAAGAUGGUGUUCGCACUUGUCUGUGGUCAUUUACCAUUAUAAUGAAUGGGAGGCGCAGUUUCUACCAAAACGCUCGCUGCAGACAAACUACAUGUCCUAUUUGAAAAAAGUCUGGACCAUGAGUGAGGGCACAAACACAGCUAGGAUAUAUCCAAAUGGCAAGUUGCUCCUCCUUUCGGAGGAGUUUGAACACAUGACAUGUGUUUGAGCCAUUGAGCGAUGGGCAGGAAAAACUUGACUUUUUCUCCUGCCAUGGGGGGGCGCUCUUUUGAGGAGUAAAAAUUCCUUCACAAAUGUGUUGAUGGCUAGACAUUGCAUCAUCCUAGAAAACUUGGAAGCCAGUGAGGACAAAAAUUAAAAGUUAUAAGACUUUUAAGAAUGUGGAUUUUUGGGUUAUCUUUGGCGCCCCCUAGAACGUAAACCGUGGGGUGCAGCGUCAUGAUUUGUACAACUUUUAAUGGCCAUGGGGUGUAGAUUGGCCUGAGCAAAUUUGGUGCCGGUGGAACGAAAGCUUUAGGAGGAGUCAGCCACAUUCCAAUGUGUGCGAAUCGAUCAAAAAUGCGUAAUAGCCCUUUAACCGUACAUUUUACAGAUACGUGCGCAUUGACUUUUUCGUAGAUCUUAUUGAGAUACACGUGAUUGUCAAAUUUUGUUUCAAUAUGACAAAGCGUACAGGCGUGACACUCAACAAUGUGUAUUUUCACCUUAUGGGACAAGAAAAAUGGACUUUUUUCUCUUGCCAUGGGGGGCGCUCUUUUGGGGAGUAAAAAUUCCUUCACAAAUGUGUUGAUGGCUGGACAUUGCAUCAUCCUACAAAACUUGGAGGCCAGUGAGGACAAAAAUAAAAAGUUAUAAGACUUUUAAGACUGUGGAUUUUUGGGUUAUCUUUGGCGCCCCCUAGAACGUAAACCGUGGGGUGCAGCAUCAUGAUUUGUACAACUUUUAAUGGCCAUGGGGUGUAGAUUGGCCUGAGCAAAUUUGGUGCCGGUGGAACGAAAGCUUUAGGAGGAGUUAGCGAAAUUCCAAUGUGUGCGAUCGGCAAAAAAUGCGAAAUAACCCUUUAACCGUACAUUUGACAGAUACGUGCGCAUAGACUUUUUUGUAGAUCUUAUUGAGAUACACGUGUGUGUCAAAUUUUGUGUCAAUAUGACAAAGCGUAUAGGCGUGACACUCAACAAUAUGUAUUUUCACCUUAGGGGACAAGAAAAAAUGGACUUUUUUCUCCUGCCAUGGGGGGGCGCUCUUUUGGGGGGUAAAAAUUCCUUCACAAAUGUGUUGAUGGCUGGACAUUGCAUCAUCCUAGAAAACUUGGAGGCCAGUGAGGACAAAAAUAAAAAGUUAUUAGACUUUUAAGAAUGUGGAUUUUUGGGUUAUCUUUGGCGCCCCCUAGAACGUAAACCGUGGGGUGCAGCGUCAUGAUUUGUACAACUUUUAAUGGCCAUGGGGUGUAGAUUGGCCUGAGCAAAUGUGGUGCCGGUGGAACGAAAGCCUUCGGAGGAGUUAGCGAAAUUCCAAUGUGUGCGGAUCGGCAAAAAAUGCGCAAUAAUCCUUUAACCGUACAUUUGACAGAUACGCCCGCACUGACUUUUUUGUAGAUCUUAUUGAGAUACAUGUGUGUGUCAAUUUUUGUGUCAUUUUGACAAAGCGUACAGGCGUGACAGUCAAUAGUGUGAAUUUUCACCUUAGGGGGCGCUAUGGAGCCAUUUUGCAUUUUAUUGUUUGGGCGACUUCAGAAUAUCGAAUUUUUCACCAGGCCCGGUCGUCCUGCCAAAUUUCAUGAGUUUUCGCCAGUGGGAAGUGGGCCAUUUUCCAGUUUAAAGCGGAGGAAAAAUAAUAAUAAUAACUAGGGCCCCGGUGGGGCACUGUCGGGCCCGAGCCGCGUCGCGCCGCCCCCAGCGCGACCGCCUCCCCCUCCCGAUCGCGUCACACUCAAGGUCCAAAGAUGGUGUGCGCACUUGUCUGUGGUCAUUUCCCAUUAUAAUGAAUGGGAGGCGCAGUUUCUACCAAAACGCUUGCUGCAGACAAACUACAUGUCCUAUUUGAAAAAAGUCUGGACCAUGAGUGAGGGCACAAACACAGCUAGUAUAUAUCCAAAUGGCAAGUUGCUCCUCCUUUCCGUUUUGCAGAGAGAGCGAUGCGUUUGAGCCAUUGAGCGAUGGGCAGGAAAAACUUGACUUUUUCUCCUGCCAUGGGGGGCGCUCUUUUGGGGAGAAAAAAUUCCUUCACAAAUGUGUUGAUGGCUGGACAUUGCAUCAUCCUAGAAAACUUGGAGGCCAGUGAGGACAAAAAUAAAAAGUUAUAAGACUUUUAAAAAUGUGGAUAUUUGGGUCCUCUUUGGCGCCCCCUAGAACGUAAACUGUGGGGUGCAGCGUCAUGAUUUGUACAACUUUGAAUGGCCAUGGGGUGUAGAUUGACCUGAGCAAAUUUGAAGCCGAUGGGACAAAAGAUUUAGGAGGAGUUAGCGAAAUUCCAAUGUGUGCGGAUCGGCAAAAAAUGCGAAAUAACCCUUUAACCGUACAUUUGACAGAUACGCCCGCACUGACUUUUUUGUAGAUCUUAUUGAGAUACAUGUGUGUGUCAAAUUUUGUGUCAUUUUGACAAAGCGUAAAGGCGUGACAGUCAACAAUGUGUAUUUUCGCCUUAGGAGACAAGAAAAAAUGGACUUUUUUCUCCUGCCAUGGGGGGCGCUCUUUUGGCGAGUAAAAAUUCCUUCACAAAUGUGUUGAUGGCUGGACAUUGCAUCAUCCUAGAGAACUUGGAGGCCAGUGAGGACAAAAAUAAAAAGUUAUAAGACUUUUAAGACUGUGGAUUUUUGGGUUAUCUUUGGCGCCCCCUAGAACGUAAACCGUGGGGUGCAGCAUCAUGAUUUGUACAACUUUUAAUGGCCAUGGGGUGUAGAUUGGCCUCAGCAAAUGUGGUGCCUUUGGAACGAAAGCCUUCGGAGGAGUUAGCGAAAUUCCAAUGUGUGCGGAUCGGCAAAAAAUGCGAAAUAGCCCUUUCACCGUACAUUUGACAGAUACGCCCGCACUGACUUUUUUGUAGAUCUUAUUGAGAUACAUGUGUGUGUCAAUUUUUGUGUCAAUAUGACAAAGCGUAAAGGCGUGACAGUCAAUAGUGUGUAUUUUCGCCUUAGGAGACAAGAAAAAAUGGACUUUUUUCUCCUGCCAUGGGGGGGGCGCUCUUUUGGCGAGUAAAAAUUCCUUCACAAAUGUGUUGAUGGCUGGACAUUGCAUCAUCCUAGAGAACUUGGAGGCCAGUGAGGACAAAAAUAAAAAGUUAUAAGACUUUUAAGACUGUGGAUUUUUGGGUUAUCUUUGGCGCCCCCUAGAACGUAAACCGUGGGGUGCAGCAUCAUGAUUUGUACAACUUUAAAUGGCCAUGGGGUGUAGAUUGGCCUCAGCAAAUGUGGUGCCUUUGGAACGAAAGCCUUCGGAGGAGUUAGCGAAAUUCCAAUGUGUGCGGAUCGGCAAAAAAUGCGAAAUAGCCCUUUCACCGUACAUUUGACAGAUACGCCCGCACUGACUUUUUUGUAGAUCUUAUUGAGAUACAUGUGUGUGUCAAUUUUUGUGUCAAUAUGACAAAGCGUAAAGGCGUGACAGUCAAUAGUGUGAAUUUUCGCCUUAGGAGACAAGAAAAAAUGGACUUUUUUCUCCUGCCAUGGGGGGGCGCUCUUUUGGGGAGUAAAAAUUCCUUCACAAAUGUGUUGAUGGCUGGACAUUGCAUCAUCCUAGAAAACUUGGAGGCCAGUGAGGACAAAAAUAAAAAGUUAUAAGACUUUUAAAUAUGUGGAUUUUAGUGUUAUCUUUGGCGCCCCCUAGAACCUAAACCUUGGGGUGCAGCGUCAUGAUUUUGAUAACUUUUAAUGGCCACGGGGUGUAGAUUGGCCUGAGCAAAUGUGGUGCCGGUGGAACGAAAGCCUUCGGAGGAGUUAGCGAAAUUCCAAUGUGUGCGGAUCGGCAAAAAAUGCGAAAUAACCCUUUAACCGUAAUUUUGACAGAUACGGCCGCACUGACUUUUUUGUAGAUCUUAUUGAGAUACAUAUGUGUGUCAAUUUUUGUGUCAAUAUGACAAAGCGUACAGGCGUGACAGUCAAUAGUGUGAAUUUCCACCUUAGGGGGCGCUAUGGAGCCAUUUUGCAUUUUAUUGUUUGGGCGACUUCAGAAUAUCGAAUUUUUCACCAGGCCCGGUCGUCCUGCCAAAUUUCAUGAGUUUUCGCCAGUGGGAAGUGGGCCAUUUUCCAGUUCAAAGGGGAGGAAAAAGAAGAACUAGGGCCCCGUUGGGGCACUGGCGGGCCCGAGCUGUGUCGCGCCGCCCCCAACACGACCGCCUCUCCCUCCCGAUCGCGUCACACUCAAGGUCCAAAGAUGGUGCUCGCACUUGUCUGUGGUCAUUUACCAUUAUAAUGAAUGGGAGGCGCAGUUUCUACCAAAACGCUUGCUGCAGACAAACUACAUGUCCUAUUUGAAAAAAGUCUGGACCAUGAGUGAGGGCACAAACACAGCUAGUAUAUAUCCAAAUGGCAAGUUGCUCCUCCUUUCGGAGGAGUUUGAACACAUGACAUGUGUUUGAGCCAUUGAGCGAUGGGCAGGAAAAACUUGACUUUUUCUCCUGCCAUGGGGGGGCGCUCUUUUGAGGAGUAAAAAUUCCUUCACAAAUGUGUUGAUGGCUAGACAUUGCAUCAUCCUAGAAAACUUGGAAGCCAGUGAGGACAAAAAUUAAAAGUUAUAAGACUUUUAAGAAUGUGGAUUUUUGGGUUAUCUUUGGCGCCCCCUAGAACGUAAACCGUGGGGUGCAGCGUCAUGAUUUGUACAACUUUUAAUGGCCAUGGGGUGUAGAUUGGCCUGAGCAAAUUUGGUGCCGGUGGAACGAAAGCUUUAGGAGGAGUCAGCCACAUUCCAAUGUGUGCGAAUCGAUCAAAAAUGCGUAAUAGCCCUUUAACCGUACAUUUUACAGAUACGUGCGCAUUGACUUUUUCGUAGAUCUUAUUGAGAUACACGUGAUUGUCAAAUUUUGUUUCAAUAUGACAAAGCGUACAGGCGUGACACUCAACAGUGUGUAUUUUCACCUUAUGGGACAAGAAAAAUGGACUUUUUUCUCUUGCCAUGGGGGGGCGCUCUUUUGGGGAGUAAAAAUUCCUUCACAAAUGUGUUGAUGGCUGGACAUUGCAUCAUCCUACAAAACUUGGAGGCCAGUGAGGACAAAAAUAAAAAGUUAUAAGACUUUUAAGACUGUGGAUUUUUGGGUUAUCUUUGGCGCCCCCUAGAACGUAAACCGUGGGGUGCAGCAUCAUGAUUUGUACAACUUUUAAUGGCCAUGGGGUGUAGAUUGGCCUGAGCAAAUUUGGUGCCGGUGGAACGAAAGCUUUAGGAGGAGUUAGCGAAAUUCCAAUGUGUGCGAUCGGCAAAAAAUGCGAAAUAACCCUUUAACCGUACAUUUGACAGAUACGUGCGCAUAGACUUUUUUGUAGAUCUUAUUGAGAUACAUGUGUGUGUCAAUUUUUGUGUCAAUAUGACAAAGCGUAAAGGCGUGACAGUCAAUAGUGUGAAUUUUCGCCUUAGGAGACAAGAAAAAAUGGACUUUUUUCUCCUGCCAUGGGGGGGCGCUCUUUUGGGGGGUAAAAAUUCCUUCACAAAUGUGUUGAUGGCUGGACAUUGCAUCAUCCUAGAAAACUUGGAGGCCAGUGAGGACAAAAAUAAAAAGUUAUUAGACUUUUAAGAAUGUGGAUUUUUGGGUUAUCUUUGGCGCCCCCUAGAACGUAAACCGUGGGGUGCAGCGUCAUGAUUUGUACAACUUUUAAUGGCCAUGGGGUGUAGAUUGGCCUGAGCAAAUGUGGUGCCGGUGGAACGAAAGCCUUCGGAGGAGUUAGCGAAAUUCCAAUGUGUGCGGAUCGGCAAAAAAUGCGCAAUAAUCCUUUAACCGUACAUUUGACAGAUACGCCCGCACUGACUUUUUUGUAGAUCUUAUUGAGAUACAUGUGUGUGUCAAUUUUUGUGUCAUUUUGACAAAGCGUACAGGCGUGACAGUCAAUAGUGUGAAUUUUCACCUUAGGGGGCGCUAUGGAGCCAUUUUGCAUUUUAUUGUUUGGGCGACUUCAGAAUAUCGAAUUUUUCACCAGGCCCGGUCGUCCUGCCAAAUUUCAUGAGUUUUCGCCAGUGGGAAGUGGGCCAUUUUCCAGUUUAAAGCGGAGGAAAAAUAAUAAUAAUAAUAACUAGGGCCCCGGUGGGGCACUGUCGGGCCCGAGCCGCGUCGCGCCGCCCCCAGCGCGACCGCCUCCCCCUCCCGAUCGCGUCACACUCAAGGUCCAAAGAUGGUGUGGGCACUUGUCUGUGGUCAUUUCCCAUUAUAAUGAAUGGGAGGCGCAGUUUCUACCAAAACGCUUGCUGCAGACAAACUACAUGUCCUAUUUGAAAAAAGUCUGGACCAUGAGUGAGGGCACAAACACAGCUAGUAUAUAUCCAAAUGGCAAGUUGCUCCUCCUUUCCGUUUUGCAGAGAGAGCGAUGCGUUUGAGCCAUUGAGCGAUGGGCAGGAAAAACUUGACUUUUUCUCCUGCCAUGGGGGGGCGCUCUUUUGGGGAGAAAAAAUUCCUUCACAAAUGUGUUGAUGGCUGGACAUUGCAUCAUCCUAGAAAACUUGGAGGCCAGUGAGGACAAAAAUAAAAAGUUAUAAGACUUUUAAAAAUGUGGAUAUUUGGGUCCUCUUUGGCGCCCCCUAGAACGUAAACUGUGGGGUGCAGCGUCAUGAUUUGUACAACUUUGAAUGGCCAUGGGGUGUAGAUUGACCUGAGCAAAUUUGAAGCCGAUGGGACAAAAGAUUUAGGAGGAGUUAGCGAAAUUCCAAUGUGUGCGGAUCGGCAAAAAAUGCGAAAUAACCCUUUAACCGUACAUUUGACAGAUACGCCCGCACUGACUUUUUUGUAGAUCUUAUUGAGAUACAUGUGUGUGUCAAAUUUUGUGUCAUUUUGACAAAGCGUAAAGGCGUGACAGUCAACAAUGUGUAUUUUCGCCUUAGGAGACAAGAAAAAAUGGACUUUUUUCUCCUGCCAUGGGGGGGCGCUCUUUUGGCGAGUAAAAAUUCCUUCACAAAUGUGUUGAUGGCUGGACAUUGCAUCAUCCUAGAGAACUUGGAGGCCAGUGAGGACAAAAAUAAAAAGUUAUAAGACUUUUAAGACUGUGGAUUUUUGGGUUAUCUUUGGCGCCCCCUAGAACGUAAACCGUGGGGUGCAGCAUCAUGAUUUGUACAACUUUUAAUGGCCAUGGGGUGUAGAUUGGCCUCAGCAAAUGUGGUGCCUUUGGAACGAAAGCCUUCGGAGGAGUUAGCGAAAUUCCAAUGUGUGCGGAUCGGCAAAAAAUGCGAAAUAGCCCUUUCACCGUACAUUUGACAGAUACGCCCGCACUGACUUUUUUGUAGAUCUUAUUGAGAUACAUGUGUGUGUCAAUUUUUGUGUCAAUAUGACAAAGCGUAAAGGCGUGACAGUCAAUAGUGUGUAUUUUCGCCUUAGGAGACAAGAAAAAAUGGACUUUUUUCUCCUGCCAUGGGGGGCUCUUUUGGCGAGUAAAAAUUCCUUCACAAAUGUGUUGAUGGCUGGACAUUGCAUCAUCCUAGAGAACUUGGAGGCCAGUGAGGACAAAAAUAAAAAGUUAUAAGACUUUUAAGACUGUGGAUUUUUGGGUUAUCUUUGGCGCCCCCUAGAACGUAAACCGUGGGGUGCAGCAUCAUGAUUUGUACAACUUUAAAUGGCCAUGGGGUGUAGAUUGGCCUCAGCAAAUGUGGUGCCUUUGGAACGAAAGCCUUCGGAGGAGUUAGCGAAAUUCCAAUGUGUGCGGAUCGGCAAAAAAUGCGAAAUAGCCCUUUCACCGUACAUUUGACAGAUACGCCCGCACUGACUUUUUUGUAGAUCUUAUUGAGAUACAUGUGUGUGUCAAUUUUUGUGUCAAUAUGACAAAGCGUAAAGGCGUGACAGUCAAUAGUGUGAAUUUUCGCCUUAGGAGACAAGAAAAAAUGGACUUUUUUCUCCUGCCAUGGGGGGGCGCUCUUUUGGGGAGUAAAAAUUCCUUCACAAAUGUGUUGAUGGCUGGACAUUGCAUCAUCCUAGAAAACUUGGAGGCCAGUGAGGACAAAAAUAAAAAGUUAUACGACUUUUAAGAAUGUGGAUUUCUGGGUUAUCUUUGGCGCCCCCUAGAACGUAAACCGUGGGAUGCAGCGUCAUGAUUUGUACAACUUUUAAUGGCCAUGGGGUGUAGAUUGGCCUGAGCAAAUUUGGUGCCGGUGGAACGAAAGCCUUCGGAGGAGUUAGCGAAAUUCCAAUGUGUGCGGAUCGGCAAAAAAUGCGAAAUAGCCCUUUAACCGUACAUUUGACAGAUACGCCCGCACUGACUUUUUUGUAGAUCUUAUUGAGAUACACGUGUGUGUCAAAUUUUGUGUCAUUUUGACAAAGCGUACAGGCGUGACACUCAAUCAUGUGAAUUUUUCACCUUAGGGGGCGCUAUGGAGCCAUUUUGCAUUUGAUUUUUUGGGCGACUUCAGAAUAUCGAAUUUUUCACCAGGCCCGGUCGUCCUGCCAAAUUUCAUGACUUUUCACCAGUGGGAAGUGGGCCAUUUUCCAGUUCAAAGGGGCAGAAAAAUAAUAAUAAGAAGAAGAAGAAAGAAGAAUCCAUCAGGAAUAAUAGGGCUCUCGCAGCUGCUUAGCAGCUACGCUCGGGCCCUAACUAGGACCCCGUUGGGGCACUGGCGGGCCCGAGCCGUGUCGCGUCCCCCCCCCCCAACGUGCUGCCUCCCCGUCCCAUUUGUGUCCUCUGGCCAUCGCCCUCUCUGGUAACGCCCAUCACUGCAAAGACCCUUUUCCUUCAUCGGCGUUUGCUGUUCUUCCUGCCAGUGCGUGUUGCUUUCACUUACACUUGCCACAGCCAGCCUCGUGAGUGCCUAGCCUAUUGGAUAUCACUGUCACCUACACAGGACAGUCAUUACCUUUCUAUUAAUACUUUGUGUUUUAAUUUCACAUUAAUUUCCAUAUUGUAUAAACGACUGGAAAAAACUUGAGCCCCUGCCCCUGUAUAAUCAUGUGCAUGUCUCUGUUCUAGCUCCAAGGUGAAUCUUCACUGCUCAUGUUCUCCUCAGAAGCACUCACCUCACUCCCCUCAGGUUACUGUACACAUGCACAAACUGCCUGCUUCAGGUUUGGAUGGAGCUUCAUGGUUGUCUUUUGGAGAAAUGACCAGUCAAGUUGUGUUUGAAAUUUGAUUUUUUUCAGGGGCAAAAGGAGCCUCUGCAUUCUUGUCAAAUAUGUAAAUAGCAUGUUUUUGCAGGUGCUAAAAACCAGACUCUGAGUGUGUGUGUGUGUGUGUGUGUGUGUGUGUGUCUGUGUGUGCGUUCAAGUCACAUGACAUAUUUAACCGGAUGUAGCUGCAAGACGGAGCCUCGUUGACUCUCCGUUUCAACUUAUCUCAAAAGUGAGGACCUCAACCUAUAUACCAGUUUUUAAAUUGUGUUGAUAGGCCAAAUAAAACCAGAGUUAUGAUAAAUUAUGUCCGCGAUACUUUUUUUCUGCUUAUUUUGAUCACGUUCGGCGCUCGAUCGCGCUGUAUGAGACAGGAAAACAUAGCAUGCAGACAUUAGCGACAGCUCUUACAGGCGGAAAAGGCUUGCCAAAAGAAAAAAAACACACACCACAACAUCUCUCCUAUUGGUGGAAAACUUCACCACAACAACCAAUCCAAAAUUAUAUGGUGACUGAUUGACAAGGGGCGGGCGCUUACGUUCUUCCUGCAACAUGAGAAGGGAGGGAGGGACUCUCAGCAGGGAUGCAGUCUGGGACACGUAGUUGCAAACUUAGCGACUUUGUUGUUAGAUUCAAUGACUUUUCAGACCCCCUAACGACUUUUUUUUAGAAAGAAAGGGACUUUUAUCGACUUCUUCUGGAGUUUAGAGACUCUGACAUGAAGCAGGCUUUCCUUACUGAGGAGUUAGCAACGCUGCUAAGGGUGCAGAGCCACACAUGCGCUCAGAGCUCUGCAUGGGAGACUGAAGCUGACAGAGCUGCAGCAGUUAGCAGGUUUCACCCUCAGAGACCACCAGGGGUUCAUGUUGAGGCAUUUUAAUUUUUUUUUUUUUUGUGCCAUAGACACUGUUAGCACAAUCUGCAGUUACACUAACAAAAAUGCUGCAAAAAACAAAGAAUUAUGGAAAAAUUACACAUGGACUGACAUAGAGGAGGAUCUACACAAGUUUUUUACAUCAUGUUUUACAUCAUGCAUCAUUUACAUCAUGUUUUUUUGUAGUGGCAUAAAUAAAAAGUGACAUUUGUGAGACUAUACAGUGUUUUGUAAAUAAUUUUACAAAGAACGCCUGGGCCAUUGCCUGCAUUUUGAUGUAAAUAGAGGUAAAUCACUAUGUUCUUUGUUAAAAAUUUGCAUAUGUUUUGAAGUUUACAAUUUUUAUUUGAAGUUUAAGUUUUAAAAACAGUUCAUCACACAUAUUUGUGGUUUUCACAGUAAAAAUGUUACUUUUUUCCACUCGGAUUUUAUGUUUUGUGUGUGAAUUUGGGUCCAUUGUGUAAAUUCAGUAUGUCAACAUGAUAAAAUAACUGUAAAUUCGCACAGGUGAGGUUGUGCUGAAAAAAAUGAUACCAGGCAAGGCACGUGAUUGUCAAAUUUUGUGUCAAUAUGACAAAGCGUAUAGGCGUGAAUCUCAACAAUAUGUAUUUUCACCUUAAGGGACAAAAAAAAAUGGACUUUUUUCUCCUGCCAUUGGGGGGCGCUCUUUUGGGGAGUAAAAAUUCCUUCACAAAUGUGUUGAUGGCUGGACAUUGCAUCAUCCUAGAAAACUUGGAGGCCAGUGAGGACAAAAAUAAAAAGUUAUAAGACUUUUAAAUAUGUGGAUUUUAGGGUUAUCUUUGGCGCCCCCUAGAACGUAAACCGUGGGGUGCAGCGUCAUGAUUUUGAUAACUUUUAAUGGCCAUGGGGUGUAGAUUGGCCUGAGCAAAUGUGGUGCCGGUGGAACGAAAGCCUUAGGAGGAGUUAGCCACAUUCCAAUGUGUGCGGAUCGGCAAAAAAUGCGGAAUAACCCUUUAACCGUACAUUUGACAGAUACGCGCGCAUUGACUUUUUCGUAGAUCUUAUUGAGUUACAUGUGUGUGUCAAUUUUUGUGUCAUUUUGACAAAGCGUAUAGGCGUGACACUCAACAAUGUGUAUUUUCACCUUAGGGGACAAGAAAAAAUGGACUUUUUUCUCCUGCCAUGGGGGGGCGCUCUUUUGGGGAGUAAAAAUUCCUUCACAAAUGUGUUGAUGGCUGGACAUGGCAUCAUCCUAGAGAACUUUGAGGCCAGUGAGGACAAAAAUAAAAAGUUACUAGGGCCCCGUUGGGGCACUGGCGGGCCCGAGCCGUGUCACGCCGCCCCCAGCGCGACCGCCUCCCCCACCCGAUCGCGUCACACUCAAGGUCCAAAGAUGGUGUGUGCACUUGUUUGUGGUCAUUUACCAUUAUAAUGAACGGGAGGUGCAGUUUCUACCAAAACGCUCGCUGCAGAAAAACUCCAUGUCCUAUUUGAAAAAAGUCUGGACCAUGAGUGAGGGCACAAACACAGCUAAGAUAUAUCCAAAUGGCAAGUUGCUCCUCCUUUCGCUUUUG